rnacentral:rRNA from 1 species
GACGAACGCUGGCGGCGUGCUUAACACAUGCAAGUCGAACGGUAAGGCCCUUCGGGGUACACGAGUGGCGAGCGGGUGAGUAACACGUGGGUGAUCUGCCCUGCACUUCGGGAUAAGCCUGGGAAACUGGGUCUAAUACCGGAUAGGACCACUGCCUGCAUGGGUGGUGGCGGCAAGCUUUUGCGGUGUGGGAUGGGCCCGCGGCCUAUCAGCUUGUUGAUGGGGUGAUGGCCUACCAAGGCGACGACGGGUAGCCGGCCUGAGAGGGUGACCGGCCACACUGGGACUGAGAUACGGCCCAGACUCCUACGGGAGGCAGCAGUGGGGAAUAUUGCACAAUGGGCGCAAGCCUGAUGCAGCGACGCCGCGUGAGGGAUGACGGCCUUCGGGUUGUAAACCUCUUUCAGCACCGACGAAGCGCAAGUGACGGUAGGUGCAGAAGAAGGACCGGCCAACUACGUGCCAGCCGCCGCCGUAA